UACGUAGGGACCAAGCGUUGUUCGGAUUUACUGGGCGUAAAGGGUGCGUAGGCGGCGUGACAAGUCAGUUGUGAAAUCUCCGGGCUUAACUCGGAACGGUCAAGUGAUACUGUCGGACUAGAGUACAGAAGGGGCAACUGGAAUUCUCGGUGUAGCGGUGAAAUGCGUAGAUAUCGAGAGGAACACCUGCGGCGAAGGCGGGUUGCUGGGCUGAUACUGACGCUGAGGCGCGAAAGCCAGGGGAGCGAACGGG
rnacentral:rRNA from 1 species